UUUUUUUUUUUUUUUUUUUGCCAAAAUUUUUACAGUAGCCUCUGAACUGGUCUCUGUGCUUCCAGGGUUGCAUUUCCAAAAGUACCUUCCAAAUGUCACUUGAAGAUCUUACUGUGUAGAGUCUUUUAAUGACUCCCAAGGGCUUUCAAGAUAGAUUCAAAAUCCCUUAACUUCCUUCAUAAGGUCCUGGCACCAGCAUGGAUCUUUAGAUUCAACAAUUAGCCACUUGCCCAAAUGAAUGCUUCCUUCCAAGUAUAUAGGGUUACAUGUAAAUAGCAGAAUAAGCCAUGUUAUUUCACUAUUCCAUCCUUUUGCACUCUUCCUCUCUAUAUAAUAUAUACGUAUAUGUAUAUGUGGAUCUACACACAAACACACACACAUAUUUCUUUUUCCCCAUGAGAUAUCCACCUCUUCCUUCUCUGUAAGGCUAUCACCUACUCCUCAAACCUCAAAGAAGAAGCUCAAGGGACAUCUCUCUUGGAACCAUCCUUCCCAAACCGCACACUAAAUAGGCAUAUUUUCCGGCAUGAAUUCUCAUGAUUGCUCUUCCUAUGAAUUUUCAUCACAUCCUGUUUUUGCAUUUGAAACAGUGUGCACUUACCACAAUGUUGGCUUACUCCUCUGUUUGUAAAAACAAAACUAUGAGCGACUUGAGUUCAGAGCCCAUGUCUCAGUCAUUAUAUCCCCGGUACCUUUCCCUGUGGUCUGGUAACAAUGCCUGAUGAAUAGAAUUGAAAUCAAAAGCUAUAUUGCUUUUGAUUAUACAAUAUACAAUAUCCACUUAUAUCCUAUUAAUAGCCCUACUGCUCUCUGUGGCUCUUCUCUAGUUGCAAGAGUCUCCCUCCCCCUUCAGUGAUAACAGAGUCAGGCAGUACAUGCAGGUGAAUUAACACUCACUGUAGCAGUCCUCGACCAAUGGCCAAAAAGAGGUUAUAUAAAUACAUCCCUCAUAUAGGAUAACUCAGAAGUGUGCCCUACACUGACUCCUACACUCUCCCAGUGAGAUGAAGCUUCAGUCAUCCCCAGUGGUGAAUGGCUCCGAUGGCUCCGUAACAUUGGCUGACUUUCCAUCCCUAACUUCCCCAUUCUCCAAACUUUAUUUUCAGGGGUUGUAUUGCAAAUAAAUGACUUAUACCAGAAUCCUACCUUCAGAAUCUGUUUCUGGUUGAACUCAACUAAGACAGUAUCCAAUACUAUGUUUUUAAGUUUAGAAACCAUUAUAUAAGUCAGUGAAGUAGGAAUUCAUAUCAUCCUUAUUACACAGAUGAGGAAGCUGAGGAACAGAGAGGUUAAAGUUCGGUAAAUUUAGAGCAUGUCAUUGAAGGGACAAUCUAUCACAAAUGGGUCUGCACAUUUUGGUUUUGGUUUGUGCGUGUGGGUGUGCUUUUUCCCCACCAACUUUCUUCUUCUGAUCUCUUUAGCAUCGUCAAUGAAAAUGCUCACAUACCAGUGGCUGAUGGUGCCCCUGAUUCAAAAGGCAGCCCUCUGGAGAAGGAUUAUAGCCCAGCACCUAAAAUAGCGGAGCCUGACAACUCAGUAGAGUGGUAAACUAAACCUCUCCCUAAAAUAACACAGAGAUCACCCAAGGGAGUCACAGGAACAGGGUUGCCAUUGUGAUUACCCAGGAUAGGAGGGAUUAAUUCACAGGUAUUAGAAAGCAGCCCAA
rnacentral:lncRNA from 1 species